rnacentral:tRNA from 1 species
CGCGGGGUGGAGCAGCCUGGUAGCUCGUCGGGCUCAUAACCCGAAGGUCGUCGGUUCAAAUCCGACUCCCGCAA